rnacentral:tRNA from 1 species
GCCGCCGUAGCUCAGGGGAAGAGCAUCUGAUUCGUAAUCAGAAGGUCGCGGGUUCGACCCCCGCCGGCGGCU